UUUAUUUUCAACCAUAAUGAACAUUACAUCUGAAAUGUCUAGAAUACCCAGGAAAUGCAGCAGGGUUAAGUAACACACCCAAGGUCACAGUUGCAACUCAAAUCAUCUGGCUCCAAACCCAGUGCUCUUUCCAGGAUGCCAUGCAGCUUUCCUUCUAAGUGGCUCAUUUCCUUCCUCGUGUGUAAAACCACUCUAUCUUCUGGACUUCAAACAACUGUUGGUAGUUUCCAGUGAGACAAGGGACAUGAGAAUGCUUUGUGAAUGACUCCACCAGUGUAAGGUCAGGUCAUUAAUGUUGGAAGGAGAGAAUCAAGUUCAAUGACUUUGAGACAAAGAGGGAAGAGAUGGACUUGACUCUCCGUG